rnacentral:lncRNA from 1 species
CUGCUUUAUGAUGCUCCCCGGGAGUUCUAAUGAUAUUUGAAUCAUCAACAUAUACGGCGAUUAUAACAAAUUCAAAUUCAGGUCCUUUUAUAAAGGUACAAGGACAAAUUGAAUUAUUCUUGUACCCUUCUUUCAACAAGUAUUUUCUCAAGCAAUUAUACCAUAUGCGCCCAUAUUGCGUCAAUCCGCAUAAGGAUUAUUGAAGCCUUAUUUAAUAAAUUUCUUGAAAAUCAUAACUUCAAAACUAUUUAAAUCCUUCAAUGAUUUCCAUUACACGCAUAUCAAGUUUUUUAUAUAUUGCUAGAUUAAAACCUGAAAUGACUACAUCCACCAUAAGAGAAUAUGUCUCCAUAUAAUCAAUGCCAUGAUAUUUUCAAUCUUCCUGUAACACAAGUCGUCUAUAUGUUUAUCGACUUGACCUUUUUAACACAAGAAUAUAUUUAUACCUCCACUGGCUUUAUACUUUUAUGUGUUGGGACUAUCCGUCCAACUUCACAUUUUUCAGGUGAAAUCAAUCUUGAUUGCGUAUUUUAUUUUAUUUUGGCCAAUCAUUUAUCUGUCCAAAUUUCAUGACUGAUCUGUGCUCAAGAUCCUCGUCAAUAUUAAUAAUUUUGAGCGCUACAUUAUAUUAACAAUAUCGUCGACGAUCACUUUAUGUCGGUUCCAUUAUUACC